AUUUUUAUAGUUUAAUAUAAAACAUUAUAUUUUCAUUAUAAAAUUAAGAAUUUCUUUAAAAAUA
rnacentral:tRNA from 1 species